UGGGGAAUAUUGCGCAAUGGGCGAAAGCCUGACGCAGCGACGCCGCGUGAGGGAUGAAGGUUUUCGGAUCGUAAACCUCUGUCAGAAGGGAAGAAACCGCACUGUGCUAAUCAGCAGUGCCUUGACGGUACCUUCAAAGGAAGCACCGGCUAACUCCGUGCCAGCAGCCGCGGUAAUACGGAGGGUGCAAGCGUUAAUCGGAAUUACUGGGCGUAAAGCGCACGUAGGCUGCUUUGUAAGUCAGGGGUGAAAUCCCACGGCUCAACAGUGGAACUGCCUUUGAUACUGCUUAGCUUGAAUCCGGGAGAGGGUGGCGGAAUUCCAGGUGUAGGAGUGAAAUCCGUAGAUAUCUGGAGGAACAUCAGUGGCGAAGGCGGCCACCUGGACCGGUAUUGACGCUGAGGUGCGAAAGCGUGGGGAGCAAACAGG
rnacentral:rRNA from 1 species